GGGAAUCUACCGUGCCCUGCGGAAUAGCUCCGGGAAACUGGAAUUAAUACCGCAUACGCCCUACGGGGGAAAGAUUUAUCGGGGUAUGAUGAGCCCGCGUUGGAUUAGCUAGUUGGUGGGGUAAAGGCCUACCAAGGCGACGAUCCAUAGCUGGUCUGAGAGGAUGAUCAGCCACAUUGGGACUGAGACACGGCCCAAACUCCUACGGGAGGCAGCAGUGGGGAAUAUUGGACAAUGGGCGCAAGCCUGAUCCAGCCAUGCCGCGUGAGUGAUGAAGGCCUUAGGGUUGUAAAGCUCUUUCACCGGAGAAGAUAAUGACGGUAUCCGGAGAAGAAGCCCCGGCUAACUUCGUGCCAGCAGCCGCGGUAAUACGAAGGGGGCUAGCGUUGUUCGGAAUUACUGGGCGUAAAGCGCACGUAGGCGGAUAUUUAGGUCAGGGGUGAAAUCCCAGAGCUCAACUCUGGAACUGCCUUUGAUACUGGGUAUCUUGAGUAUGGAAGAGGUAAGUGGAAUUCCGAGU
rnacentral:rRNA from 1 species